UACGUAGGGGGCAAGCGUUGUCCGGAAUCAUUGGGCGUAAAGCGCGCGUAGGCGGCCCGGUAAGUCCGUUGUAAAAGUCAAAGGCUCAACCUUUGAAAGCCGAUGGAUACUGCCGGGCUAGAAUCCGGAAGAGGCGAGUGGAAUUCCUGGUGUAGCGGUGGAAUGCGCAGAUAUCAGGAGGAACACCAAUGGCGAAGGCAGCUCGCUGGAACGGUACUGACGCUGAGGCGCGAAAGCGUGGGGAGCAAACAGG
rnacentral:rRNA from 1 species